rnacentral:rRNA from 1 species
ACAGUCACACAUUAGAUACCCGCGUAGUCCCAGCCCUAAACGAUGCGCGUUAGGUGUAUCGGUGACCACGAGUCACCGAGGUGCCGAAGGGAAACCGUGAAACGUGCCGCCUGGGAAGUACGGUCGCAAGGCUGAAACUUAAAGGAAUUGGCGGGGAGCACCACAACGGGUGGAGCCUGCGGUUUAAUUGGACUCAACGCCGGGAAGCUCACCGGAUAAGACAGCGGAAUGAUUGCCGGGCUGAAGACCCUGCAUGACCAGCUG